CGGAGGAAAAGAAACUAACAAGGAUUCCCCUAGUAACUGCGAGUGAAGCGGGAAAAGCUCAAAUUUAAAAUCUGGCGGUCUUUGGCCGUCCGAGUUGUAGUCUGGAGAAGUGCUUUCCGCGCUGGACCGUGUACAAGUCUCCUGGAACGGAGCGUCAUAGAGGGUGAGAAUCCCGUCUUUGACACGGACUACCAGUGCUCUGUGAUGCGCUCUCAAAGAGUCGAGUUGUUUGGGAAUGCAGCUCAAAAUGGGUGGUGAAUUCCAUCUAAAGCUAAAUAUUGGCGAGAGACCGAUAGCGAACAAGUACCGUGAGGGAAAGAUGAAAAGCACUUUGGAAAGAGAGUUAAACAGUACGUGAAAUUGCUGAAAGGGAAACGCUUGAAGUCAGUCGCGUCGGCCGGAACUCAGCCUUGCUUCCGCUUGGUGCACUUUCCGGUCGACGGGCCAGCAUCGAUUUCGACUGCCGGAGAAAGGCCAAGAGGAAUGUGGCACCUUCGGGUGUGUUAUAGCCUCUUGUCACAUACGGCAGUUGGGAUCGAGGACCGCAGCAUGCCUUUAUGGUCGGGGUUCGCCCACGUUCGUGCUUAGGAUGCUGGCGUAAUGGCUUUAAACGACCCGUCUUGAAACACGGACCAAGGAGUCUAACAUGCCUGCGAGUGUUUGGGUGGAAAACCCGAGCGCGUAAUGAAAGUGAAAAUCAGGACCUCUGUCGUGGAGGGCACUGAUGCCCGGACCUGAAGUUCUCUGACGGCUCCGCGGUAGAGCAUGUAUGUUGGGACCCGAAAGAUGGUGAACUAUGCCUGAAUAGGGUGAAGCCAGAGGAAACUCUGGUGGAGGCUCGUAGCGAUUCUGACGUGCAAAUCGAUCGUCAAAUUUGGGUAUAGGGGCGAAAGACUAAUCGAACCAUC
rnacentral:rRNA from 1 species